rnacentral:rRNA from 1 species
CACUCCUACGGGAGGCAGCAGUGAGGAAUAUUGGACAAUGGGUGGAAGCCUGAUCCAGCCAUCCCGCGUGCAGGAAGACGGCCCUCUGGGUUGUAAACUGCUUUUAUCUGGGGAUAAACCUACUUACGUGUAAGUAGCUGAAGGUACCAGAAGAAUAAGCACCGGCUAACUCCGUGCCAGCAGCCGCGGUAAUACGGAGGGUGCAAGCGUUAUCCGGAUUUAUUGGGUUUAAAGGGUCCGUAGGCGGACUGAUAAGUCAGUGGCGAAAUCCGACAGCUUAACUGUCGAACUGCCAUUGAUACUGUUAGUCUUGAGUAAGGUUGAAGUGGCUGGAAUAAGUAGUGUAGCGGUGAAAUGCAUAGAUAUUACUUAGAACACCAAUUGCGAAGGCAGGUCACUAAGUCUUAACUGACGCUGAUGGACGAAAGCGUGGGGAGCGAACAGGAUUAGAAACCCGGGUAGUCCCAUGA